rnacentral:rRNA from 1 species
CACUCCUACGGGAGGCAGCAGUGAGGAAUAUUGGACAAUGGGUGGAAGCCUGAUCCAGCCAUCCCGCGUGCAGGAAGACGGCCCUAUGGGUUGUAAACUGCUUUUAUCUGGGGAUAAACCUACUUACGUGUAAGUAGCUGAAGGUACCAGAAGAAUAAGCACCGGCUAACUCCGUGCCAGCAGCCGCGGUAAUACGGAGGGUGCAAGCGUUAUCCGGAUUUAUUGGGUUUAAAGGGUCCGUAGGCGGACUGAUAAGUCAGUGGUGAAAUCCGACAGCUUAACUGUCGAACUGCCAUUGAUACUGUUAGUCUUGAGUAAGGUUGAAGUGGCUGGAAUAAGUAGUGUAGCGGUGAAAUGCAUAGAUAUUACUUAGAACACCAAUUGCGAAGGCAGGUCACUAAGUCUUAACUGACGCUGAUGGACGAAAGCGUGGGGAGCGAACAGGAUUAGAAACCCCGGUAGUCCCAUG